UUACAGCAAUAGCUGUUAGUAAAGUAGAUGAUGUGAGACCAGUUCUCCAGUAUUACAGCCAGUUUGAUAAUCCAUUAGAAAAGUUCCAUGAAAACCAGGCUAAACUCAAGGCGGAGCAAGAAAAACAAGCCCAAUUACAACAGUCACGUGAUGCAAAAAGUGUGACCGGAUUGUGGAACAAGUUGAAGAGAUGAAAUAUUUCACUAAAUAUGGCAGACGAUUUGAGUGUCGGAAUAAAACAUUUAAAUGUUGUUAUAAACAUUAUAAAUGACAAUUUCAUUUUGUGAUGCACUGGAAAACAGUCAACAUAAAGAAGCUCUUGAGAAAUAGAAAAUAGGUUAUUUCGUGCAGGCAGUGAUUAUUUACUAGAUCUAUUUAUAGACAUAUACUGUAUAAGCUUGCCUAGAGGACAGUUUCUUUUU